CCUACGGGUGGCAGCAGUGGGGAAUAUUGCACAAUGGGGGAAACCCUGAUGCAGCGACGCCGCGUGAGUGAAGAAGUAAUUCGUUACGUAAAGCUCUAUCAGCAGGGAAGAAAAUGACGGUACCUGAGUAAGAAGCCCCGGCUAACUACGUGCCAGCAGCCGCGGUAAUACGUAGGGGGCAAGCGUUCUCCGGAGUUACGGGGUGUAAAGGGAGCGUAGACGGUGCGCCAAGUCUGGCGUGAAAGGCCGCAGCUUAACGGCGGAACUGCUUUGGAAACUGGCGAACUAGAGUGCGGGAGAGGGAGGCGGAAUUCCGGGUGUAGCGGUGAAAUGCGUAGAGAUGAGGAGGAACACCGGUGGCGAAGGCGGCGUACUGGACCGUAACUGACGUUGAGGCUCGAAAGCGUGGGGAGCAAACAGGAGUAGAUACCCGUGUAGUC
rnacentral:rRNA from 1 species